GACGGAGGAUGCAAGUGUUAUCCGGAAUCACUGGGCGUAAAGCGUCUGUAGGUCGUUUAACAAGUCUACUGUUAAAAAUUGAAGCUUAACUUCAAAGAUGCCGUAGAAACUUUUAAACUUGAGUAUGGUAGGGGUAGAGGGAAUUUCCAGUGGAGCGGUGAAAUGCGUAGAUAUUGGAAAGACCACCAAUGGCGAAGGCACUCUACUGGGCCAUUACUGACACUGAGAGACGAAAGCUAGGGGAGCAAAUGGG
rnacentral:rRNA from 1 species